GCUCGGAUGGUGGAAUGGUAGACACGCCAGUUUCAGGUACUGGUGGUUUAUGCCGUGUGGGUUCAAGUCCCAUUCCGAGCA
rnacentral:tRNA from 1 species